GCUUACGGCCACACCGCCUGGUUCACGUCGAUCUCGUUUGAUCUCGGAAGCUAAGGUAGGUUGGGCCUGGUUAGUACUUGGAUGGGAGACCGCCUGGGAAUACCAGGUGCUGUAAGCU
ensembl:rRNA 5S_rRNA 5S ribosomal RNA